CUGAGUCCGUGUAUCCCUCCGCAGCCAGGCCAGUAAUGCGGCGGCCUUAUGGAACACCUUCCACCUGCCCAUGAUGCCUGGUGUUGGAGCCUGAGGCCGCCCUGCACCUCGCAACAAGCUCCUGCCACUGUACUACUAGUGUAGCAACGUCCUCACUCACGCAUUGAUCGUCCAGGACUCGAGGUGGAGGUGUAGUUAGUGAAGUUGGCCAAGUGUUUGUGUCUAUUGAUCUGGAGCAGCGGUGGUUGUAGUGUCUGUCUCUCCUCGACCGCUCCCACCAUCCGUUCGAGUCAUCCCCGGUGUCGGUGUUGUUGAUUCGGUGCUGAUAACAAGUGAAGCGGACGGCCGUGGGUGGUGGUGUUGGGCGGCCCUAGGCGGUGGUGGGCGGCCCCGGGCGACGGCGGUGGGCGGGCCAGGCGGGGGGCGCGGCAUGGGGCGUGCCCAGGUGGCGGCCAGCGGGCCAGCGGCCGGCCCCGCGGGACGGCACCCUCCCGCCGAAGGCCGGUAGGCACUGCCUCCUGGUGCCCCCGUGCCGGCGACCUGCCUUGCUCCCGCACCUGCUCGUCCUCGCCCUCGCCGCUGCUGCCUCACCUUUGAGUGUGCCCGCCGCCACCACGUGCCCUACCUGAGGUGUCGGGGCAGCAGGCGGCGCCGCUCCCCCCGCCCGGGCAUGGCCGCCCCCCGCGGGGCGUGGCUCCCCUGCGCACAACCCCAGGGACACUAGAGCAAGCCCACCAUGGCGGCCGACGGAGGGCCAGACAUAAUGCCGGAUCUCUCGCACCUGACCGACGAGGAGCGGAGCAUCAUCGAGGGUGUGAUGCGCCGCCAGAAGAUUGAGGAGGAACAAGAGAGCGAGCUUGUUAGGAGAAAGCAAGAUGAGGUCCGGAUCUUGGAGAACACGAUCCGUCUUCGCUCCGAGGUGCAGAGAAAGAAAGGCUUGGAACUGGAUGCCACCUGCCAGAUUUGCCUCAAGACCAAGUUUGCGGACGGCGUGGGCCACAUCUGUAACUACUGUAGCGUCCGCUGCUGCGCCCGCUGCGGAGGAAAGGUCUCCCUCAGGUCAAAUAAGGUCAUCUGGGUGUGCAUCCUGUGCCGCAAGAAGCAGGAGCUGCUCAUCAAGACGGGCACUUGGAUGAACCCUGGAUUUUCGCAGCAUGGCGAGGCGAUGCACCUUGACCACGAAUACUCAGGUACGGCGGCAUCCGUCACUCCCACGGGCGACAAACGGCCCAAGUUGGAGCGUGGUGCUAGCAGUGAAAAAGAAAAUAACCGGCCCACAGGUGUUGGAGGGCCGGCCCCGGGGGGAGGGGGGCCUCACCACCAGGGGGAGCCAGCGCCAGGACACCACCAGGGAGAACAGGGGCAUCACCACGCCACCCUAGAUACGCGGACAGCUCUGCAGCGCACCGGAAGCACACAGGGGCGGGAACUGCGCCGCCAGUUCUCGCAAGAACGCGGUGGUGGCGAAAGCGGGCGGCCGGCAAGAGGGCGGGCGGUCAGCGAAGGGGGCGAGGGACCGCCGCCCUCGCCCAACGCCCGCGAACGACCUGUCCCGCCCCCUGAUGCCUUCCGCUCGUUUGAGCAGCAGAGACCGGCGGGUCCGGACAUCCGGGUGGAGCGGGGUUAUGGGGGUGGCGGGGGGUACGGGGGCCCGGGUUAUGGCAACAACCGGUACAGCCCUAACUUGGGCGGUGCCGGCGGUAGCAGCCCCAUGGAGGGCAGCAGCCCUGGCCCCGCGUCCAUGGAGGGCAGCAGCCCCCAUCCCGACGACUCUCGCCGCAGCCACCUGGACCCCUCGACUGGGGCUAUGGGACGCUCUCACGGGCGCCGCCGCACCGACCCUGUCAUGAGGAAUGACUCUGUCUCCUCAGACCAGAGUGAGUGUGUACGCCCGCGGCCCACCAAGCCGCACAAGCUUCGAAGUCGAGGUCGCAAACCCCGUCAGCGCUCACUCUCGUCUUCUGACGAGGAGGUGCGCUCCACUCCGGAUUAUACCUCGUGCGAAGAGCCCGAGGCCGAAUCCGAGGGUGUGUCGGAGAAGGGCGAGGGCGAGGCGGUGGCAGAGCGGUAUAAGCGGCAGGAAAUAGUACACGCCACCAUCAAGACUCUCCUGGCGCACCCGGUCUCGUGGAAGCCCAGCCAAGACGGCACCAGGCUCAUCGGACACCUACUGCUCAAUAAGUACGUGAAGGGCGAGGUGCCGGUGCUGAGCGCAAAUAUUCUGGGGCUGAAGGUGGUGGGAGGCAAGAUUCUGGAGAACGGGAGGAUUGGCGCCCUUAUCGAGAAGGUGAAGAAAGGCAGCAUUGCGGACUCCGUAGGGCAUCUCAGACCAGGGGACGAGGUGCUGGAGUGGAAUGGACGCUCCCUGCAAGGCAAGUCCUUUGAGGAGGUGUUUGAAAUCACCUCAGAAUCCCGCCAGGAGCCACAGGUCGAACUCAUGGUAUCGAGAUUACUGUCGGACGUCGACCGACAAGGGGGCAGACGACACACCCUCACUGGCCUUGUUCCCAAAGGCGAAGGUUACGAGCCCCGCAGGUUGCCCGAGCCGCGGCAGGACCGGCGACCCAGCGUCACCAUCACUUCGCCAGGCUCGCCAGAGACCUUCAGGAUACGAACCCACUCCCCCUCCAUUAUCGGCAAGCUGCAGCUCAAGUUGUGGUUCGACCCCAUGAACCAACAGCUCGUCGUGACCAUUGUGAGUGCCGUCGACCUGCCCCCGAGACCAAACGGCGCCCCAAGAAACCCGUACGCCAAGAUGUUCCUGCUGCCCGACCGAAGCGAGAAGUCUAAACGCCGCACCAAGGCUGUGGCCAACACCCUGGACCCGCGCUGGAACCAGUCCUUCUACUACUGUCCGCUGCGUCGUGCCGAGCUCAAGACCCGCUCCCUCGAGAUCACCGUCUGGGACUACGACAGAUACGGCGCCAACGACUUCCUGGGAGAGGUUGUGGUAGACCUGAGCGCGGCGCCCCUAGAUGAUGAACCAGACUGGCACUACCUCUCCUCCCACGACGACGCCCUCCCGUCCCACAUGCGUCGCGGGAUAUACGUGGACACAGAGUCCGCCUCCACCAUCGCCUCCACCGACCACUUGUCUCCGCCCUCCACCACCUCCCGUCUGAGCGAGUCUGACAUUAGUGACCUGGAGGACAAUCUGCAGCGGGACAGACGGACAGACGGAACAUCCAUCAGCAGCGUGGGGUCCUCCUCCAGUCCGCCUCCCGAGGACCGCCAGCUGGGAUCGGGGGCGGAACAUCUGCCGAGGCGGGACACUGCGUCUCCCACGGGCCGCCGCCUCACAACCACCGUGCAUAGCCGCGGGGACUUGAGGUACCGCGCUAAGGACCUCACCCUGCCGGCUUACAGCAGCAACCCUCGCUCCCGCAGCCAUUCCGCCGCCCCAACGGACUCUCCGUCGCUGCACAUGUCGCGCUCUCGCAGCAAGUCUCCCCGCCGCGUCACUGAGCCCGGUAGCCGCUCCCUCUCCCCUCCCGAGGCCAGGCCGGGUUACAGCGGGGGUUCCAGGAUGACUUCCCGCAGCGCUACCGCCACCCCGACAGGCUCCCCCAAGAAGAGACAGCUGCCCCCUAUUCCUACUCAUCAGUUAUCCUCCAGGGACAAGGUAACGCAGGAGCUAGAGGACAGGACUCGCCAGAUGAAGGCGAAAAUGAUGCAGAUUCAAGCCUACAGGUCAACCGGUUCACACCUGUACUCCGGCCACUCCGACACCGAACUGCGUAUGUAUGACAGGUACUCCCAGGGGCGCGGGGUGCUGGUGUCCCCCGAGCGUGAUCCGGAUAGAGACUUUGGCGACUCUGCCAGUGACAUUGAGAGUGUCGUAAGUGCCUUCUCCACUCAGAGCGAGAGGCCCCGAGGCUCCACGAAGCUCAGUAGGCGGCACCUGAGUAGCUUGAAGAGCCACACUCAUGGCUAUGACGCCACCCUAGACCCGCCCUCCCUGCUGACCGACGUGACGCGAGACAUUUCUCCCCACGGGCGGGAGCCGUCGUGCAGCCUUCUGGACGUGAGCCUCCGCCCCCCUAGCCCCAUUCAACCCCGACCCCCUCACCUCCGCCGUUCUCUUUCCAUGGGUGUGGGCGCAGGUGUCUCCCGGAGCGCGCCGCACCUGGCCGCGCGUCCCCGUCAGCACCCACAGCCACGCCCCCUCAUGCGUUGCAACACGGAGGCCAGCGUGGCUCCUCCGCCACGACCCCGCCACCGCCUGCAGAAAAGCCAAAGCCUUGGCGAGAAUGACCGGCGAUGGGAAGUUCGCCAGGAUGCUGACUACUUUCCUGAGGCGUGGGAAUUUUCUAAUCGCGCUCGCUCGAAGUCCCUAACCCGUGACGAUUUUUCUCUUCGGCCGCCCCCUAGAAAAACGGUAACGUAUGAAGACGAGGUGUUACGAGAACGGUUGCAGGAGCCUCCCCCCUUCUCCAGAAGCUCACUAUCUCUUGAUAAAUCAGUGCCUUAUGAGUCUGACUUAGUGGUAAGGGAACACGCGCAGGACCCUUAUGUGCGAAAGUCUCGGGCAGUCCCUGACGGGUACACGCAGGUGUCUCAAGAGCAGCAACAGCAAAAGCAGCAAAAACAGCAGCAGCCUCCUGAUGCUGCCAGGGGUCUGUACCGGCGGCGCAGUUCCGUCCGCCUUGCAGACAGCCAUAGUGCAGGAACCUAUUACGGGUAUGAUUCAGACUAUAGUGGAGCAGAAACAGAAGUGUUCCUUCCAGACCGCUCUCUUGAUCGCUCCUUUAGUCUGGAGCAAGUGGACCAGCGGAGCUCCGAGUUGGAGUUCACCUCUGGGGAUGAGCGGCACCCAACAGGACCAGCAGAUCUUCCCCACCACUCAUUAUUGGCAAUGCAGGAAGGUUGCAGCCAAACGCUUCCAAGAGCUCGACGAGCCUCCACUGGACCUUCACGUAGAGUCAUGAUGAGAGCAAACACCGAGAGCGCCUUGUUGAAAGGCCCUAGUAGAGACCUACGCGAGCAGAUUAGCUGGAAACCGUCCAGAGGAGAACAGGAACGGAUGUAUGGUAUUUCUCGUGAGCACAGCUUAGGAGAAGGCUCCUCAGGCGAAAGAAGGCAGCCCCUUGAGGCAGUGAGAGGGAUACAUUCUAGUCCAGCCCUGUCACGAGUCCUCGAUGGGAGUAUGCCACAAGAUAAAUAUGAGUCAUGUAGUUCAGAUGACGUGUUUAUUCCUAUUGAGCAGCGUAGGCAUGGCUUGGUUCAGUCUGAAGGUGACCGAGACAGUCGACCUGAUGACUCAUAUGAUGGCCCACCAGUGGAAGGCCGACGGUAUCACUACACAUCCCUCCCACAAGACCAAGCCAGAGCCAGGGACCACGAAGACACACGGCUCCAUCAUGGCAGCUUGGGGGAGGACAGACGCCCUUUGGAUCCUCAAGUUCUCCCAGAAGGUGGCAGGUAUCUUGAACAUGAUGAGAGAGAUGAAAGCAGAUACUUGGAACAAACCCCUAGGGAUGAAGGCAGGUACCUCGAGCAUGAUCCGAGAGAUGAGUCAAGUUACCGUAGACAUGGGUCGAGAGAGGAGGUAAGGUUUCGUGAACACGAUCCUCAAGAUGAGAUGAGAUAUCAUGACCACAGCUCAAAGGAAGAGGUUAGAGGUCGGGAGCACAGUUCUCGGGAAGACAUCAGAUACAGAGAACACAGCUCUCGCGAUGAAACAAGACAUGUGAAGCCCAGCCUCAGAGGUGAAGCUAUAUUUAGAGAACAUGAUCCUAGAGAUGAAGCCAGGUAUCGAGAACAUGAUCCUCGGGACGAAGCCAGAUUUCGAGACCACGAUCUCCGAGACGAAGCCAGGUACCGAGAACACGCUUCUAGGGAAGACCUUAAACAUAGAAAACAUGGUCGAAAGGUCGAGGCUCGAUAUGUUGAACAUCCCAGGGAUGAGGGUAGAUUCCGAGAGCUUGAGGUGCGGGAAGAAGCACGAUAUCGAGAACAUGGUUCGAGAGAUGACCCCAGAUACCAGGAGUAUCCCCCAAGGGAAGAAAUAAGAUUCCAAGAACCUCUACCUAGAGAAGAAAGUGGUUUCCGAGAAGUGGAGGUAGGAGUGGAACCCACCUACAGAGAUCAUGAUCCAAGAGUUGAAGGAAGAUUCCAGGAUAUGAGGGAGGAGGAGAGGUAUCGAGAUGACAGAAAGGAUGAAGACAGGUAUCGUGAAUCAGACAGUAGAAUGGAUAGCAGAUACCAAGGCACCGAUGAGGGGAGAUACCCUGAGGACAUGAGAGACAGAGGGGAAAGAAGGUUCAGGGACCAAGACCCUAGAAUUGAUGAUAGGUACCAAGGCCCUCGAGAAGAAACCAGGUAUCGUGAGCAACCUUAUCCAGAAAGCUCUACUGGAGCCAGACCAAGACGUCCUGAGAGAGAGAGAGCAGGGACGAUAUUCCAAGGGAUGAGAGAUACAGACAAGGAAGUCUUGAUCAAGAAAGAUACAGAGAAAUGCCUUUAGAAAAGGAGCGGUUCAGGGAACAAGAAGAUGUGAGAUACAGGGAUGCUGGUGCUAUGGAACGAGAAAGAUAUAAAGAGUAUGGAGCUGUAGAAAGAGACAGAUAUAAAAGAUGGAGUUCUGUAACAGAGGAUAAGUAUAGAGAGAGCUUGGAGAUGGGAGACAGAGACUACCGCGCUGCAACACUUGAAAAAGACCGAUUUCGAAGUUGUGUUUCUUUGGACCAGGAUAGGUUUAGGGAUCAGGGACGCGAUCCAUACCGGGAUGGUAGUGAGGGACCGGAGCGAGGGUAUAAAGGGCAGGCGGAGGACAGAAAGCACUACGGUAGCCGGAGGGACCUCAGAGACAGGAGGCUGUACGAUGAUCAUGGCGGGGAAUCGUAUGAAGGGGAGGAUCGCAGGUUCAGAGAUAUGCACCACCCCAGUUACGAUCCCACCUUUCCCUACCAUGACCCGAGGCGACCACCUGACCACCGACGUGACGCUGCUUCUCACCCGCACCAUACCUCGCACCCUCACGACCUCGCUCAUGCACACCUCACUAAUACCCCUCACACCCAUCCCUACGCCGCCCACGAGACCCGUGCUGCAGACCCGUCCUAUAAUGUAGCCGAUCCCCUACCCCACCACCAUCCCCUCGACACAGACCCUUUGGAAGGCGAGAUCCCGGACACAGACAGACCCCUGACCCCCCGAGUUCGCCACAGUUCCUCAUGAGUUUAGCCACCGGACCACCACCCCCUUCGGGCCAACGGGGGUGAGCAUCGGCGGGGCCAGCAAGCGCGGCCAGCUGGGCAGGAGCCGCUCCACCAGCGAGGUCCCAGAGACGGAAAAAGCUG